UACGGGGGGUGCGAGCGUUGUCCGGAAUCACUGGGCGUAAAGGGCGCGUAGGUGGUCUGAUAAGGGUGUGGUGAAAGCCCGGGGCUCAACCCCGGGUCGGCCGUGCCGACUGUAAGACUAGAGUGCUGUAGGGGCAGGCGGAAUUCCGGGUGUAGCGGUGGAAUGCGUAGAGAUCCGGAGGAAGACCGGUGGCGAAGGCGGCCUGCUGGGCAGUUACUGACACUGAGGCGCGACAGCGUGGGGAGCAAACAGG
rnacentral:rRNA from 1 species